rnacentral:tRNA from 1 species
CAAUAGCUCAGUUGGAUAGAGCGCAAGCCUCCUAAGCCUGAGGUCGGGGGUUCGAGCCCCUCUUGG